rnacentral:lncRNA from 1 species
AAGUGUUCCUGAAUAAACCUGCUUGAAGAAGGACAACGUGGUGUUGCGUCUUUCCUGCUGGUCGGGGUGGAUGCGACAUUCUCUCAGUAGAAUUUUUGCCACCGAGGGAGAUGGGUCCUUUUGGAAGGAGGGAUGGUGCCAGUCACAGCUUGGUGAUGAGACGGAUCAUCGACAGCCACUGUGGGUCCCGUAGCAGUUGACCAGAGCAGUCCAAAAUGAGUGGAGUGGGGACAGCGUGGAUGUUCCUGGUGUUGAGGAUACUUCCUGUGGUGAUGGCUGAAGAUCCACAUUGGGGAAUCUUACCUGUGUUUCCCAAACCCAUGCCGUUGAUGCAUUUGGCACAAGUGUUCCCUCGAUUUUUCACAUCUAAUGCUUCGCUGCAGUUACCCUUGUUACCAUGGGAUGGGGAAAUAGCACCCGUGCAGGAACUGAUGCAGCUUCAGUUGAGGGGAUUGCUGUGCUUUCAAAUGAUUCAAAUAUUUCUCAGAAUAGUGGCUGCGUUCAAAUGUAUAAUUAAACAGCAGCAUGGUUUGAUAUGUCAAUUGAUAGUUCUACUAAAGCUAAUGCCACAUGGAUUCAAGGGGUGUGCCUGCCAGUAUUUCCAAAGGCAAUGAUACCAUACCUCUCCAACCUAGACGGGCUCCUUUUGCAAGGGUACCCGUGAUUCCCUUCCAUCAUGGACUGGGUGUCAGUCUAGAAAGGCAGCUUGGGCUGUAAAGAAAUAUUUUACCUUUUCUCCUUAUAUUGGCACAGUCCAUAAUAGCUCAUUUUCAGGAUAUAAUUGGACCUAUCAAAUUCCAUCUCAAGUAGGAGCUAGUAAUCCUUUUAAUGUGUGGUUGUUGUGAAUAGUAGUUGCACAGAUCUUUCUCCUCUGAGUAUGCUAGUGGGAGGGGCAAGAGGUAAUGCAAGUUUUUAUUGGAAUGGGUCUAGUGUGUUUGAAACCUCUGUAUCUCAACUUGCUGGAGGGCGCAAUGCUUCCUUUAAGACUACGCCUGUUUGUUUGUGGCCUCAUUUUGUGUUUAUUGUUUAUAGUUAUGAGAAUAAUGUUGGUAAUUGUAGUAGUGAUAUUUGUUAUUAUAGUAUGUGCUGGAAUGCAUCUGAAUAUCAUUUAGCUGUUGUGACUAGAAUGCCUUGCUUUGUACCUUGGCCUGUUCAAGCUCCUUCUGCUAUGACUUUGUUUAGACCUAAGAAGGAUUUUUGUCAUUACUGCGGCCAUUGUCACUGCUAUGGCAAUUUCUGCCACCGCAGCCAUGGCUGCGGCCAUAUCCCUUACCUCUGUGGUACAAAUUGCCGUGGCUGUGAAUAAUUUAUCCGCAGGUGUUGCAGAAGCUUUGGAUGUUCAGGGAAAUAUUAAUAGCCAGCUGAAAGCAGGAAUUUUAUUGCUGAAUCAAAGGGUUGAUUUAGUCCAGGAAUAAGUGGAUGUUUUGAUGGAGUUAGCACAAUUGGGUUGUGAGUGGAAAUAUUUGGGACUGUGUGUUACAUCUAUACCGUUUGUGAAUGCCAGUCGUGCUGCUCAUUUAUCCUGCAAUAUAUCUCAGUACCUUACAGGAAAUUGGUCUCAGUAUUUUGAUGGAUUAGUUCGGGAAUUGAGACAAUCCAUCGUCCAUAUUAACUCCACCUGUGUGGACGUGUCCAGGGAUGAAGGACUGGCAAGCUGGAUCUACAGCUGUCUCCCACUUGAAAGAGUGGGCCGGAAUUGGUGGACUUGCCCUGUGUCUGAUACUAAUCAGCAUCCUGGCCUUUUGGUGCAUUUGCCAUAUGCAAAUUUCAUAUUUCACAGUUUCAUCAGCACAGAACCCAAGCCUUGAUGAUACAGGCUUUUGCAGUGGUGGAGACAGGACAGUCUCCACAAGUGUGGCUUGGCAUGCUAGAGAAGUAGUCAAUGACGGGUAAGACUCCUUGGGCAUGUCACCAACCUAAGACAGGGAUCAAACCAAAGCUGUUUGUCUCCCAAUGAUGGGUAAGGGGCAUUGCUGCAGGGGGCAACCUAAGACAGGCAUUCUCUCUGCCAAAAAUAAAAAAAGGGGGAGAUGUGGGGAGCAGGUGUGGUGGUAGUCCCAAGAUGGUGCCUGGGACUGCAGCCAAGUCUUAUGACUUGCACCUGACUUCCUCAUACACCAGAAAGUAAGCCACGUCCAUCGUGAGAGCUGCGCAGGCGCACCAUGAUGCAAGAUCAGGCCGUUUGACAAAGGGCAAUGAACUGAGAUUACGCAGACUGGGCUGAUGGGGUGUGGUUGAGGGAUUAUAUAAGGGAUUGCGAUUGGGGGCUAGGAGAGAUUCCUGCUUGCAUGUUGAAAGGUUCCUGAAUAAACUGCUUUGAG